UCCUGGUCCAAGUCCUAGUCCAGAUCCAGACUGUGGCGCCACCAUCAGACCUGAACAUGAACAACAGUCUGAGGUUGUACAUGGCUCUUCACAAACAGGUUCUCUGCUGUACAUUGGAGUGAGCCUUGUGGUGAUUGUGCUGCUCUUCUCAGUCGCUCUUGUAUUAUUUUACUGCAAAAAGAAAGAAAACCAGCCCAAAGAGUGUCCAGUGAACAGAGAGUUUGGGGAAGUUCCAGAGGGGGACAGGGAGUACGAGGAGGUGCCGGAGCGACAGGUCCAGAGCACAUCUGACUGGGGUUCUGACAUUUACAGUUUGGCCUCAGCUCCAGCUCACACACAGGUGGACUCAGUGCUGUACUCUGAGGUGACACACUCCAGCAGAAACAGCGCCCUCCACAGUCGGGCUGAGGCAGUGGUCUACUCUGCAGCACAAACUCAAGACACUCCACUGUACUCCACCAUUUCUGCUCUGCAAUAAUAGUGAAAGGUCCCACAUUAUGCUCUAA